GCCCGCUUGGAUUAGGGGUAAAGCGUAUCACUCGUAUAGAAUGAGAUCCGGGUACAUAUGAGAUGAUAAGAUCAGUCGUUCGAAUCGGCUAGUGGGCA